rnacentral:rRNA from 1 species
CCUACGGGUGGCAGCAGUGGGGGAUAUUGCACAAUGGGGGAAACCCUGAUGCAGCGACGCCGCGUGAGUGAAGAAGUAUUUCGGUAUGUAAAGCUCUAUCAGCAGGGAAGAAAAUGACAGUACCUGAGCAAGAAGCACCGGCUAACUACGUGCCAGCAGCCGCGGUAAUACGUAGGGGGCAAGCGUGAUCCGGGUUUACUGGGUGUAAAGGGAGCGUAGACGGUUAUGUAAGUCUGGAGUGAAGGUCCGGGGCUCAACUCCGGGACUGCUUUGGAAACUGUGUAACUGGAGUACAGGAGGGGCAGGCGGAAUUCCUGGUGUAGCGGUGAAAUGCGUAGAUAUCAGGAGGAACACCGGCGGCGAAGGCGGCCUACUGGACUGAAACUGACGUUGAGGCUCGAAAGCGUGGGGAGCAAACAGGAUUAGAUACCCGUGUAGUC